rnacentral:rRNA from 1 species
GACGAACGCUGGCGGCGUGCUUAACACAUGCAAGUCGAACGGAAAGGCCCUGCUUGCAGGGUACUCGAGUGGCGAACGGGUGAGUAACACGUGGGUGAUCUGCCCUGCACUUCGGGAUAAGCCUGGGAAACUGGGUCUAAUACCGGAUAGGAGCCAUUUUUAGUGUGAUGGUUGGAAAGUUUUUUCGGUGUAGGAUGAGCUCGCGGCCUAUCAGCUUGUUGGUGGGGUAAUGGCCUACCAAGGCGGCGACGGGUAGCCGGCCUGAGAGGGUGGACGGCCACAUUGGGACUGAGAUACGGCCCAGACUCCUACGGGAGGCAGCAGUGGGGAAUAUUGACCAAUGGGCGCAAGCCUGAUGCAGCGACGCCGCGUGGGGGAUGACGGCCUUCGGGUUGUAAACGCCUUUCGCUAGGGACGAAGCUUUUUGUGACGGUACCUAGAUAAGAAGCACCGGCUAACUACGUG